UACGGAGGGUGCGAGCGUUGUCCGGAAUCAUUGGGCGUAAAGGGCGCGUAGGUGGCGGGACAAGCGUGCGGUGAAAGCCUGGGGCUCAACCCCGGGUCGGCCGUGCGAACUGUUUUGCUUGAGCACUGUAGAGGCAGGCGGAAUUCCGGGUGUAGCGGUGGAAUGCGUAGAUAUCUGGAGGAACACCGGUGGCGAAGGCGGCAUCCUGGACCAACACUGACGCUGAGUGAGCGAAAGCCAGGGGAGCAAACGGG
rnacentral:rRNA from 1 species